rnacentral:sRNA from 1 species
CCACAAGCUGUCGGCUCGAUUCGGUCGCGUUACAGGGGAGGCGCCGGGGCCAAGGCAGGGAGGGAUCUUAGGAGAGAUCGGAGGACAUCUGAAGAGCUGCCAUGUCUGGGGCAUCUUCCUCAGAACAGAACAACAACAGCUAUGAAACCAAACCCCCAAAUCUUCGAAUGUCAGAGAAGAAAUGUUGUGAGUUCUGGCAGAGAGGAGGGACUGCUCUCUCUCAGCAUUUUAUCUUGGGAAUAUAGUUAUAAUACUGGACUCUGCUGCUUGGUAGGAGUGAUAAAUAAUUCUUUGACAUGGAAAUUUAAUACAAAGUCUCUAGGGUGGAAUGUCCUGUCU